AACGAACGCUGGCGGCAGGCUUAACACAUGCAAGUCGAACGCCCCGCAAGGGGAGUGGCAGACGGGUGAGUAACGCGUGGGAACAUACCCUUUCCUGCGGAAUAGCUCUGGGAAACUGGAAUUAAUACCGCAUACGCCCUACGGGGGAAAGAUUUAUCGGGGAAGGAUUGGCCCGCGUUGGAUUAGCUAGUUGGUGGGGUAAAGGCCUACCAAGGCGACGAUCCAUAGCUGGUCUGAGAGGAUGAUCAGCCACAUUGGGACUGAGACACGGCCCGCACUCCUGCGGGAUGCAGCAGUGGGGAAUGUUGGACAGUGGGCGCAAGCCUAAUCCAGCCAUGCCGCGUGACUGAUGAAGGCCUUAGGGUUGUGAAGCUCUCCCACCGAUGAAGAUAAUGACGGCAGUCGGAGAAUACGCCCCGGCUAACUUGGUGCCUGCCGCCGCGGUAAAAC
rnacentral:rRNA from 1 species